CUGUCCGCAAAUAGCGGGUACAGCAGAAUGCCCUCUGCCUUCUACUCUGUCCACUCCGCCGCCCAGCUAGUCACGUGACCUGAUGACAGGACAGAAUCCAUCUCUACCCAGGAGCUACAUUGUGUGCUUACUGUAUCUGUUUGGUCAGUCCCAGUCACUCCAGACCACGCAGCAAGGCCUGCUCACUGAGCUAUCUAUGUCCAGUAGUUUAUCCCAGAGUAGAGAGACUGGCUGUCUGGAACUGUGGCUCUUUAGAGCCUGGUCUGCUGAGGGAGGUCUCUCUCUCUGUCUUCUCUUUAGAGCCUGGUCUGCUGAGGGAGGUCUCUCUCUCUGUCUUCUCUUUAGAGCCUGGUCUGCUGAGGGAGGUCUCUCUCUCUGUCUUCUCUUUAGAGCCUGGUCUGCUGAGGGAGGUCUCUCUCUCUGUCUUCUCUUUAGAGCCUGGUCUGCUGAGGGAGGUCUCUCUCUCUGUCUUCUCUUUAGAGCCUGGUCUGCUGAGGGAGGUCUCUCUCUCUGUCUUCUCUUUAGAGCCUGGUCUGCUGAGGGAGGUCUCUCUCUCUGUCUUCUCUUUAGAGCCUGGUCUGCUGAGGGAGGUCUCUCUCUCUGUCUUCUCUUUAGAGCCU